CCGUUGCCGGCGACCGGCGCACGGGUGAGUAACACGUAUGCAACCUGCCCGUGGCAGGGGGAUAAGCGGGGGAAGCCCCGUCUAAUACCGCGUAACGCGGCCUAGGGACAUCCCAAGGCCGCCAAAGGGAGCAAUCCCGGCCACGGAUGGGCAUGCGGCGCAUUAGCUAGUCGGCGGGGUAACGGCCCACCGAGGCGACGAUGCGUAGGGGUUCUGAGAGGAAGGCCCCCCACACUGGUACUGAGACACGGACCAGACUCCUACGGAAGGCAGCAG
rnacentral:rRNA from 1 species